rnacentral:rRNA from 1 species
GGGUUGUGAGGUUAAGCGACUAAGCGUACACGGUGGAUGCCCUGGCAGUCAGAGGCGAUGAAGGACGUGCUAAUCUGCGAUAAGCGUCGGUAAGGUGAUAUGAACCGUUAUAACCGGCGAUUUCCGAAUGGGGAAACCCAGUGUGAUUCGUCACACUAUCAUUAACUGAAUCCAUAGGUUAAUGAGGCGAACCGGGGGAACUGAAACAUCUAAGUACCCCGAGGAAAAGAAAUCAACCGAGAUUCCCCCAGUAGCGGCGAGCGAACGGGGAGCAGCCCAGAGCCUGAAUCAGUGUGUGUGUUAGUGGAAGCGUCUGGAAAGGCGCGCGAUACAGGGUGACAGCCCCGUACACAAAAAUGCACAUAUUGUGAGCUCGAUGAGUAGGGCGGGACACGUGGUAUCCUGUCUGAAUAUGGGGGGCCCAUCCUCCAAGGCUAAAUACUCCUGACUGACCGAUAGUGAACCAGUACCGUGAGGGAAAGGCGAAAAGAACCCCGGCGAGGGGAGUGAAAAAGAACCUGAAACCGUGUACGUACAAGCAGUGGGAGCACGCUUAGGCGUGUGACUGCGUACCUUUUGUAUAAUGGGUCAGCGACUUAUAUUCUGUAGCAAGGUUAACCGAAUAGGGGAGCCGAAGGGAAACCGAGUCUUAACUGGGCGUUAAGUUGCAGGGUAUAGACCCGAAACCCGGUGAUCUAGCCAUGGGCAGGUUGAAGGUUGGGUAACACUAACUGGAGGACCGAACCGACUAAUGUUGAAAAAUUAGCGGAUGACUUGUGGCUGGGGGUGAAAGGCCAAUCAAACCGGGAGAUAGCUGGUUCUCCCCGAAAGCUAUUUAGGUAGCGCCUCGUGAAUUCAUCUCCGGGGGUAGAGCACUGUUUCGGCAAGGGGGUCAUCCCGACUUACCAACCCGAUGCAAACUGCGAAUACCGGAGAAUGUUAUCACGGGAGACACACGGCGGGUGCUAACGUCCGUCGUGAAGAGGGAAACAACCCAGACCGCCAGCUAAGGUCCCAAAGUCAUGGUUAAGUGGGAAACGAUGUGGGAAGGCCCAGACAGCCAGGAUGUUGGCUUAGAAGCAGCCAUCAUUUAAAGAAAGCGUAAUAGCUCACUGGUCGAGUCGGCCUGCGCGGAAGAUGUAACGGGGCUAAACCAUGCACCGAAGCUGCGGCAGCGACGCUUAUGCGUUGUUGGGUAGGGGAGCGUUCUGUAAGCCUGCGAAGGUGUGCUGUGAGGCAUGCUGGAGGUAUCAGAAGUGCGAAUGCUGACAUAAGUAACGAUAAAGCGGGUGAAAAGCCCGCUCGCCGGAAGACCAAGGGUUCCUGUCCAACGUUAAUCGGGGCAGGGUGAGUCGACCCCUAAGGCGAGGCCGAAAGGCGUAGUCGAUGGGAAACAGGUUAAUAUUCCUGUACUUGGUGUUACUGCGAAGGGGGGACGGAGAAGGCUAUGUUGGCCGGGCGACGGUUGUCCCGGUUUAAGCGUGUAGGCUGGUUUUCCAGGCAAAUCCGGAAAAUCAAGGCUGAGGCGUGAUGACGAGGCACUACGGUGCUGAAGCAACAAAUGCCCUGCUUCCAGGAAAAGCCUCUAAGCAUCAGGUAACAUCAAAUCGUACCCCAAACCGACACAGGUGGUCAGGUAGAGAAUACCAAGGCGCUUGAGAGAACUCGGGUGAAGGAACUAGGCAAAAUGGUGCCGUAACUUCGGGAGAAGGCACGCUGAUAUGUAGGUGAAGUCCCUUGCGGAUGGAGCUGAAAUCAGUCGAAGAUACCAGCUGGCUGCAACUGUUUAUUAAAAACACAGCACUGUGCAAACACGAAAGUGGACGUAUACGGUGUGACGCCUGCCCGGUGCCGGAAGGUUAAUUGAUGGGGUCAGCGCAAGCGAAGCUCUUGAUCGAAGCCCCGGUAAACGGCGGCCGUAACUAUAACGGUCCUAAGGUAGCGAAAUUCCUUGUCGGGUAAGUUCCGACCUGCACGAAUGGCGUAAUGAUGGCGGGCUGUCUCCACCCGAGACUCAGUGAAAUUGAACUCGCUGUGAAGAUGCAGUGUACCCGCGGCAAGACGGAAAGACCCCGUGAACCUUUACUAUAGCUUGACACUGAACAUUGAGCCUUGAUGUGUAGGAUAGGUGGGAGGCUUUGAAGUGUGGACGCCAGUCUGCAUGGAGCCGGCCUUGAAAUACCACCCUUUAAUGUUUGAUGUUCUAACGUGGACCCGUGAUCCGGGUUGCGGACAGUGUCUGGUGGGUAGUUUGACUGGGGCGGUCUCCUCCUAAAGAGUAACGGAGGAGCACGAAGGUUGGCUAAUCUGGUCGGACAUCAGGAGGUUAGUGCAAUGGCAUAAGCCAGCUUGACUGCGAGCGUGACGGCGCGAGCAGGUGCGAAAGCAGGUCAUAGUGAUCCGGUGGUUCUGAAUGGAAGGGCCAUCGCUCAACGGAUAAAAGGUACUCCGGGGAUAACAGGCUGAUACCGCCCAAGAGUUCAUAUCGACGGCGGUGUUUGGCACCUCGAUGUCGGCUCAUCACAUCCUGGGGCUGAAGUAGGUCCCAAGGGUAUGGCUGUUCGCCAUUUAAAGUGGUACGCGAGCUGGGUUUAGAACGUCGUGAGACAGUUCGGUCCCUAUCUGCCGUGGGCGCUGGAGAACUGAGGGGGGCUGCUCCUAGUACGAGAGGACCGGAGUGGACGCAUCACUGGUGUUCGGGUUGUCAUGCCAAUGGCACUGCCCGGUAGCUAAAUGCGGAAGAGAUAAGUGCUGAAAGCAUCUAAGCACGAAACUUGCCCCGAGAUGAGUUCUCCCUGACCCUUUAAGGGUCCUGAAGGAACGUUGAAGACGACGACGUUGAUAGGCCGGGUGUGUAAGCGCAGCGAUGCGUUGAGCUAACCGGUACUAAUGAACCGUGAGGCUUAACCUUACAACGCCGAAG